UACAGAGGUCUCAAGCGUUGUUCGGAUUCAUUGGGCGUAAAGGGUGCGUAGGUGGCGCGCUAAGUCGGGUGUGAAAUCUCGGAGCUUAACUCCGAAAUUGCAUUCGAUACUGGCGUGCUUGAGGACUUGGAGAGGAGACGUGGAAUUCAUGGUGUAGCAGUGAAAUGCGUAGAGAUCAUGAGGAAGACCAGUGGCGAAGGCGGGUCUCUGGACAGUUCCUGACACUGAGGCACGAAGGCCAGGGGAGCAAACGGG
rnacentral:rRNA from 1 species